GCUCUAUAGCUGAAACAGGAACUGCGGCCCAAGAUUGUACACCUCUUAGUAAGGACAAGAAGGUACAAAAGAUAAAAACAUAUCCAACAAAGCUAAGCUGGAAACAAAUAGCAAUUCAGCACAGAAAAAUGUUACAAUUCAGAGCAUAUGUCUCUAUCUUAACUAAUGUUAAAUCCAUGAAUGCUUUACAGAGGUUCAUAUAUAUUCAUUUCCAACAUGCAUGCAUUGACCCACUUCAUAAUCCAAUAACAACAGAAUCUGUGUUUACACUGUCUCAGAGUAAUUCUUUAACUAUUCCUAAAGUAAUUUGCAUGAAUUAUUGAUUAUGCAAAUCGAAGACAACUGACAAGAAACAGUAAGUAGUUCUAUCAUUCUAUGAGCCUACUCCAUCCAAUCUAGGCUUGUAAUAAAUCGGACUCUUCAUAGCCUUGGUGGUGAGCUCUUAUCAUCGCUCAUCUAGUCUUAGCCGGGGGGGGGGGGGGGGGGGG
rnacentral:misc_RNA from 1 species